AGAUUGAACGCUGGCGGCAUGCCUUACACAUGCAAGUCGAACGGUAGAGUAGCAAUACUCGAGAGUGGCGAACGGGUGAGUAAUAUAUCGGAACGUGCCCAGUCGUGGGGGAUAACGUAGAGAAAUUUACGCUAAUACCGCAUACGAUCUAAGGAUGAAAGCGGGGGAUCGCAAGACCUCGCGCGAUUGGAGCGGCUGAUAUCAGAUUAGGUUGUUGGUGAGGUAAAAGCUCACCAAGCCGACGGUCUGUAGCUGGUUUGAGAGAACGACCAGCCACACUGGGACUGAGACACGGCCCAGACUCCUACGGGAGGCAGCAGUCGGGGAAUUUUGGACAAGUGGGCGAAAGCCUGAUCCAGCAAUGCCGCGUCGCGAAGGAAGGAAGGCCUUCGGGUUCGUAAACGUGCGUUUUGUAACGGAACGAAAAGGCGUCUUUACUAAUAAA
rnacentral:rRNA from 1 species